UUCCUAUGCAAAUGUUUGCGUGCACACACACAAACACACACACACACACACACACACACACUUACAUAUGUCAAGCUGUCUGCUGCAGAUAGAUACAGACUAAAUGAAUGAAUGCAAUAAGGAAAAAGAAGAACAAAUUAUGGACAUGUUUGCAUGAACGUGAGGUUUUCAAAGAUCAUUCUCUCAAUGUAAACUAAAUAAUAAAUCUUCCACUUUCAGAGGAACAUUUCAUCACAAAUACGCUAUUUUUUUCAGACAUAAAAAAAAAAAUAAAAGAGUAUUAAACGGACUUCCUGUUGUUGUCUUGAAUCAACACAAUGUGUGUGUGGGAAGACAACGAAAAAGCACCUUUUUACGUUGACAUCCACUCAGUCGCACCUAUAUCUCCUAUGCACACACACACGGACCUAGUGCUGAUUCAGAAUGAGAAGAGGAACCGAGAGCACUUCGUAGUUUCCUGCCAAGUGUGCAGAAAGUCUAGGUCAGGUUCACACACACACAUACACAUGCAAGUACACACAACAAGUACACACACGAAAGAAAAAAAAAAAAAACUCUCGCAUCCGUACAGCCCCCGCGCAACGAUCUCUCUCGAUGACAGUCGUAACGGAGUCAGUGGAAAAGAAAAAGUCAUUAGUCACUGUUUGUCCCUGAAUUUUCCAGUAUCAACCAAGACGUGGUUUUCCUGCGUCCCGAAGGAUCCUAUAUAAAGCAGCAUGCUCGGCUCAAACCACGUCUCCUAAGGAUUUGAAAACUGAAGGACUGCUCAAACAAGCCAUCAACCACCUCAAAUUCCUUAUUAAUAGAGAAAAGGACAAUAGCAUGUUUCUCCACUCACCAACGAAUGACAUCAAGGAGUGCUGCUCUCGUUCUGCUCUCGAGUGCUUCAAAUCAGAGCUUAAAUCCAUCACCCAUAAGAAUCAAACGGUGAUGAAACUGGCCAGAAAUCUGGGCAAGGCUACCAUCAUGAAUAGCGUGAACACCUGCACUGAGGAAGAAAUAAAGAAAACCAAGUGCAUGUCCUGUGACUCCUACCCGAGGGUCAGCAGCAAACAAUUUCUGAGUAAUUUACAGUCACGUCUGCAAAUGGCUUAUAGUCGCCUUUAAAUUACAAGCAUGAUGAUGAUGAUGACGACGUGAAUGUGUGGACGACACUACCUCAUGAAACCCUGGUGUAAAGCACUGUGGAUCAACCCAUCUAUUUAUUGCUUAUUUAUUUGUUUGGUUGUUUUUGAUUUUUAUAUUACAAUAGACUGAGAAAUGCCUUAGAAUUUCGGAUAUGUUGGCAGUGUGUUUAUCAGUUUUUUCUUACUGCUAAUUUUGAUUAAUACUGUGUUCACAUUGCAGAGAAAUGUAUUGUAAUGUACAUAUAUACUGCAUUAUAUAGUAUUAACAGUUAUAAACCAGUACAAGAGAGAAAACUCAAGACAAGGCCUGCUGCUGCUAUAGCACCUUCUAAUGGAUGGGCAUAUAUAGUUAUAUUUUUUGCACUUGCAUGAUCACUUCUUUCCCAAGACAGCAGAAAAAAGUUUGGUUCACACUGUCAACUGACGUUAUUUUCAAGAAUGAAAUAAACAAUUAUGUCUCAUAAUGAGACUUUAUGGAUUACAUAGUUAACCAGUUGUACUUAAUGCAUGUAUCCUAUUGUUUUGUAUUUAUUUACUAUUAAAAUUAAAUUCUCUCAAA